CAUAUCGUUAUGAUUUUAUAUAUCUCACGUUCUCCUAUUUGCUUCGCGAAGCUAAUUUUUUUGUUUACAGGUUUUUUUUUCAAGUACAUUAUACUUUACAAUAUUGCCAACAAUUCUUCAUGGGGUUCAAAUGAAUAUUGUUUAAUGCCCAGUGUACAAUUUUAUAAUUACUACAUUAUUCUUCGAGCCGAAUACUAUUCAACAUUAAGAGGGUAUGAAUAUUUCUAUCAUUGACUAUACGCCGUUUAGUUUUUGCGCAUUUCUGGCAAAUAGAAUAUUUACGAAUAUUUACGGUCAAUAUAAACUACUACGCACAUACCGAAAGGAAUGUAAACAUAGAGAAUAAUAUGUGCGAUCCUGGAAUGUGCCCCACCAAUUCUCUUCCUUUGGAAGUCACAGAUUCCUGCUCAGUUUCAUACGAACAGCGAUUCGAUCAAGUGAACAUAACAGUUAGUAAAUUUUGAAAAAAAAAACCAUGGGAGAAUCUGAUAACAAUUAUCAACAAAUGUUCAGGGACGUACAGCUGCUGCUGCAGCAGCAACAGGAGCAGCAUCACCGUGAGAUGC